UACGUAGGGACCAAGCGUUGUUCGGAUUUACUGGGCGUAAAGGGCGCGUAGGCGGCAAUUCAAGUCAGUUGUGAAAUCUCCGAGCUUAACUCGGAACGGUCAACUGAUACUGUUUUGCUAGAGUGCAGAAAGGGCAACCGGAAUUCUUGGUGUAGCGGUGAAAUGCGUAGAUAUCAAGAGGAACACCUGAGGCGAAGGCGGGUUGCUAGGCUGACACUGACGCUGAGGCGCGAAAGCUAGGGUAACAAACGGG
rnacentral:rRNA from 1 species